CAAGCCAUCUUCCCAUCUCAGCCUUCAAAGUGUGGGAUUACAGGGAACAAAAGGGUACAUUGUAAGGAAUCUGUUUCCUGGACUGGGAAGCCAUAUUUCAGCAACCUAUGCCCAGCUACCCCACCCAAUGUGACUUGUUACACAUCUGGGAUGCAGAUCUGUUAGCGCUGCCUUGCUUGGAAGCCCUUACUGACAGUGAGCAGAUGAAUAAUUAACCUAAUAAGUUCUCGUGCGAUCUCUUUGCUGCCUGGCGUCAUGUUCAGAGAUGAGACUUCCUGAGCAGAAGCUGAAACAAUUUUUUUCUAUGACAUUGCAAAUAAGGACCAUGCUUGAAUGAAAUAAAAACUGACUGCUCGUU
rnacentral:lncRNA from 1 species